UACAGAGGGUGCGAGCGUUAAUCGGAAUUACUGGGCGUAAAGGGUGCGUAGGUGGCCUGUCAAGUCAGAUGUGAAAACCCUGGGCUUAACCUGGGAAUGGCAUUUGAAACUAGCAGGCUCGAGUGCAGGAGAGGGAAGUGGAAUUUCCGGUGUAGCGGUGAAAUGCGUAGAUAUCGGAAGGAACACCAGUGGCGAAGGCGACUUCCUGGCCUGUAACUGACACUGAGGCACGAAAGCGUGGGGAGCAAACAGG
rnacentral:rRNA from 1 species